rnacentral:rRNA from 1 species
UACGAAGGGGGCUAGCGUUGCUCGGAAUCACUGGGCGUAAAGCGCACGUAGGCGGAUUGUUAAGUCAGGGGUGAAAUCCUGGAGCUCAACUCCAGAACUGCCUUUGAUACUGGCGAUCUUGAGUCCGGGAGAGGUGAGUGGAACUGCGAGUGUAGAGGUGAAAUUCGUAGAUAUUCGCAAGAGCACCAGUGGCGAAGGCGGCUCACUGGCCCGGUACUGACGCUGAGGUGCGAAAGCGUGGGGAGCAAACAGG